rnacentral:rRNA from 1 species
UACGUAGGGUGCGAGCGUUGUCCGGAAUUAUUGGGCGUAAAGCGCACGUAGGCGGCAUCGCAAGUCCCAUGUGAAAGCCCACGGCUUAACCGUGGAAGUGCAUGGGAAACUGCAGUGCUUGAGUACUUAAGAGGAUCGCGGAAUUCCCGGUGUAGAGGUGAAAUUCGUAGAUAUCGGGAGGAACACCAGUGGCGAAGGCGGCGAUCUGGGAAGAUACUGACGCUGAGGUGCGAAAGCGUGGGGAGCAAACAGG